GACGAACGCUGGCGGCGUGCUUAACACAUGCAAGUCGAACGGUAAGGCCCUUCGGGGUACACGAGUGGCGAACGGGUGAGUAACACGUGGGUGAUCUGCCCUGCACUUCGGGAUAAGCCUGGGAAACUGGGUCUAAUACCGGAUAGGACCACUGCCUGCAUGGGUGGUGGUGGAAAGCUUUUGCGGUGUGGGAUGGGCCCGCGGCCUAUCAGCUUGUUGGUGGGGUGAUGGCCUACCAAGGCGACGACGGGUAGCCGGCCUGAGAGGGUAACCGGCCACACUGGGAGUGAGAUACGGCCCAGACUCCUACGGGAGGCAGCAGUGGGGAAUAUUGCACAAUGGGCGCAAGCCUGAUGCAGCGACGCCGCGUGCGGGAUGACGGCCUUCGGGUUGUAAACCUCUUUCAGCACCGAGGAAGCGCAAGUGACGGUAGGUGCAGAAGAAGGACCGGCCAACUACGUGCCAGCAGCCGCGGUAA
rnacentral:rRNA from 1 species